rnacentral:pre_miRNA from 1 species
UAUAUCGCCUUUUGAGGUUAUUUUCUUAAUACCCUCAAAAGACGGUAUUAG